rnacentral:rRNA from 1 species
UACGGGGGGGGCAAGCGUUGUUCAGAAUUACUGGGCGUAAAGGGCUCGUAGGCGGCCAACUAAGUCAGACGUGAAAUCCCUCGGCUUAACCGGGGAACUGCGUCUGAUACUGGAUGGCUGGAGUUUGGGAGAGGGAUGCGGAAUUCCAGGUGUAGCGGUGAAAUGCGUAGAUAUCUGGAGGAACACCGGUGGCGAAGGCGGCAUCCUGGACCAAUACUGACGCUGAGGAGCGAAAGCCAGGGGAGCAAACGGG